GUUGUCAGGAACAUCUUCGUCCUUGGAGGUAGACAUCUUGCUACUGUACAUCUUUCUCCAAGUUCAAGAAGGUGUUUCCAAGGCUCAGGAGACCCAGCCCUGGGGAGAUACCACCUCUGCCUCCCUUCCUCUGUGCACACACCUGAAAAUACAAUGAGGCAUCUCUGGCACCGGAGUGGUCCUGUCUCUACCUCUGUGGAGUGUCCUGGUCCAAGCUGCUCAGCUGAGCCUCUUAAUUGUUUGGAGUCUCUGUUGGCUGCUCCCUGAAGGUCACGGUCCCAGUACUUGCUACAAUUAUUUCCCUGUAGUUCUUUCAGGGCUUGACUUGGGAUAUUUAAGUAUUUUAAAAAAU
rnacentral:lncRNA from 1 species